AUGCAGCAGAGCCAGGGCGCAGGGCUGGCAGCGCUGGCCAUGGUGCUCCUGAUGGCUGUGGGCAGAGCCCAGGUGCAGCAGGAGUUGUCAGCAGAGGCCACAGAGGGCACCAGCAUCAGCAUCAGCUGCUCACACCCCAACAUACAGACUAACGAGUACAUCCACUGGUACCGGCAUCUCCCGGGACGAGGUCCCACAUUCAUCGUGAGCAUUUUCAAAGAGUCCAAAAAGGUGCAGGACCCUCCAGGAACCCUGCUCGUGGCUGCGGACCGCCAGUCCAGCACCCUGCAGCUCGCACAGCCCCGGCGGCAUGACACAGCAGUGUAUUACUGUGCCCUGGGAGACCCGGCGGGACAGACUGGGGCUGCGGCUGUGCACAAACCUCUGCAAAACCCAGAUUUUGGGACAACAGGAGGGCCCCCGGAUUUAGCUCUGAAGGCCCCAAGGAGGAAAGGAGUUCCCGCCCUAGCCAUUGCAGACAUAUUCACCCCUGUCACAGUGGAGGUGGGUGAAGAAACAGCGAUCUAA